rnacentral:rRNA from 1 species
AAAAUAAUUAUAGGUUAAUUAGAUAUAUGUAUAUAUCAAAUAAUAAAGAGUUUAAAUAAUUUAAAUUAUUUAAUUAUGUAGUAUAAAAAGUAUAGAAUCAUUGUUAAUAAUAGAAAGUACUGUAAAGGAAAAUAAUAUAUUUAAUUUAUAGUAGAGUUUGAUUCUCGUACCUUUUGUAUAAUGGGUUGAUGAUAUAAAUUAAAUUUAUAAUAUAAUCUCGAAAUAAAAGGAUUUACUUGAUAGAUUUAUAUGUGUUGACGUUGUAUAGUCAUAUAAUUAAUAUUAAGUGGUAAUGAUAUAUUAAUCGAUUUUUAUGAUAGCUAGUUUAUUAGUUUACAAUAUUUAAGUAUUAUAAUAUUAAUAUAAUGUUUGAUUAAUUUAAUAUUAGUGUAUUAUAUGGGGGUAAGCUUCAUAUAAUUUUAUAGAAGGUUGUAUAUAAUUAUAGUUGAUUUAAGUAGAAUUAAUAAUGUUUUUCUUUAAAAGUAAUAAUAAAAUUAUAGAUAAGUAUAUAAAUUCAGGUUGUAUAAAUAACUAUAAAUGUUUAUAAAUUAAAUUUAAAUAUAUAUAAUGUUAAUAUGAGUAUAAGUUGGAAAAUUGGAGUAAUUUAUUUAUAUUUAUUUAAAUGUGAAUAAUUAAAAUAAAAUAAUUAAUUAAAUAAUAUAAAGGAAUUUGGCAAAUAAUAAUCUCGCCUGUUUAUCAAAAACAUGUCUCUUUGUAUUAUUUAUAAAUAAAGAGUCGGGCCUGCUCGGUGAUGAUUUUUAACAGCUGCGGUAUUUUAACUGUACUAAGGUAGCAUAAUAGUUUGCCUUAUAAAUUGAGGCUAGAAUGAAUGGUUUGACGAAGGUUUAUCUGUCUCUAUAUUAUUUAUUAGAAAUUGAUUUUUAAAGUGAAAAAGCUUGAAUUUUUUAAAGGGACGAGAAGACCCUGUUGAGCUUAAAUUUUUAUAUUAUUAAUAGUUGAAGUAUUAAUAAGAAAAUAAAUUUUAGUUGGGGUGAUUAAGGAAUAAAAUUAUAAUUUAAUAACUUCCUUAGAGUAUUAAGUUUAUUUGUAAAAAGUAACCAAUAAAUUUAUAUUGCUUUUAUUAUAGUUACCACAGGGAUAACAGCGUAAUUUGCUUAGAGAGUUCUUAUUAAAAAGUGAGUUUGCGACCUCGAUGUUGGAUUAAAAUAACCUUAAGGUGUAGAAGCUUUAGUAGGUAAAUCUGUUCGAUUUUUAAAAUUUUACAUGAUCUGAGUUCAGACCGGCGUGAGCCAGGUUGGUUUCUAUCUUUUAAAUUGUUAGGUUGUCUUUUUUAGUACGAAAGGACCAAAAAGAACUAAAAAUUUUAUUAUAUUUAAAUAAUUUAUUGUAAACAAAAUAUAAAUUAAGGUAUUAAU